rnacentral:rRNA from 1 species
GACGAACCGUGCGAACGUUGUUCGGAAUCACUGGGCUUAAAGGGCGCGUAGGCGGGUGACCAAGUCAGAGGUGAAAUCCUGCGGCUCAACCGUAGAAGAGCCCCUGAUACUGGUCGUGCUUGGAGGGAGGUAGGGGCAUGUGGAACUUCCGGUGGAGCGGUGAAAUGCGUAGAUAUCGGAAGGAACGCCGGUGGCGAAAGCGACGUGCUGGACCUCUUCUGACGCUGGAGGCGCGAAAGCUAGGGGGAGCAAACGGG